rnacentral:misc_RNA from 1 species
UCCGAGUUGACCCCGGCAGUCUCCUGUGAGUCCCCAUCACCCCGAAAGGCAUGCUGGCAACACAGAACAAGGGUUGCGCUCGUUGCGGGACUUAACCCAACAUCUCACGACACGAGCUGACGACAGCCAUGCAGCACCUGUCUCUCGGUUCCCGAAGGCACACCAGCAUCUCUGCCGGCUUCCGAGGAUGUCAAGGGUAGGUAAGGUUCUUCGCGUUGCAUCGAAUUAAACCACAUGCUCCACCGCUUGUGCGGGCCCCCGUCAAUUCAUUUGAGUUUUAACCUUGCGGCCGUACUCCCCAGGCGGUCGACUUAUCGCGUUAACUGCGCCACAAAGUCCGCGAGGGACCCAACGGCUAGUCGACAUCGUUUACGGCGUGGACUAC